AUUUACGACAACGCCUCGCAAA
rnacentral:snRNA from 1 species